rnacentral:piRNA from 1 species
UGCAAUUGAGACCUAGAUUGGAAAAAGUGCC